UAAUGUAUGGGGAUCUGCCCGAUAGAGGGGGAUAACUACUGGAAACGGUGGCUAAUACCGCAUAAUGUCUACGGACCAAAGCAGGGGCUCUUCGGACCUUGCACUAUCGGAUGAACCCAUAUGGGAUUAGCUAGUAGGUGGGGUAAAGGCUCACCUAGGCGACGAUCUCUAGCUGGUCUGAGAGGAUGAUCAGCCACACUGGGACUGCGACACGGCCCAG
rnacentral:rRNA from 1 species